GAUGAACGCUGGCGGCGUGCCUAAUACAUGCAAGUCGAGCGAACGGACGAGAAGCUUGCUUCUCUGAUGUUAGCGGCGGACGGGUGAGUAACACGUGGAUAACCUACCUAUAAGACUGGGAUAACUUCGGGAAACCGGAGCUAAUACCGGAUAAUAUUUUGAACCGCAUGGUUCAAAAGUGAAAGACGGUCUUGCUGUCACUUAUAGAUGGAUCCGCGCUGCAUUAGCUAGUUGGUAAGGUAACGGCUUACCAAGGCAACGAUGCAUAGCCGACCUGAGAGGGUGAUCGGCCACACUGGAACUGAGACACGGUCCAGACUCCUACGGGAGGCAGCAGUAGGGAAUCUUCCGCAAUGGGCGAAAGCCUGACGGAGCAACGCCGCGUGAGUGAUGAAGGUCUUCGGAUCGUAAAACUCUGUCAUUAGGGAAGAACAUAUGUGUAAGUAACUGUGCACAUCUUGACGGUACCUAAUCAGAAAGCCACGGCUAACUACGUGCCAGCAGCCGCGGUAAUACGUAGGUGGCAAGCGUUAUCCGGAAUUAUUGGGCGUAAAGCGCGCGUAGGCGGUUUUUUAAGUCUGAUGUGAAAGCCCACGGCUCAACCGUGGAGGGUCAUUGGAAACUGGAAAACUUGAGUGCAGAAGAGGAAAGUGGAAUUCCAUGUGUAGCGGUGAAAUGCGCAGAGAUAUGGAGGAACACCAGUGGCGAAGGCGACUUUCUGGUCUGUAACUGACGCUGAUGUGCGAAAGCGUGGGGAUCAAACAGGAUUAGAUACCCUGGUAGUCCACGCCGUAAACGAUGAGUGCUAAGUGUUAGGGGGUUUCCGCCCCUUAGUGCUGCAGCUAAUGCAUUAAGCACUCCGCCUGGGGAGUACGACCGCAAGGUUGAAACUCAAAGGAAUUGACGGGGACCCGCACAAGCGGUGGAGCAUGUGGUUUAAUUCGAAGCAACGCGAAGAACCUUACCAAAUCUUGACAUCCUUUGACAACUCUAGAGAUAGAGCCUUCCCCUUCGGGGGACAAAGUGACAGGUGGUGCAUGGUUGUCGUCAGCUCGUGUCGUGAGAUGUUGGGUUAAGUCCCGCAACGAGCGCAACCCUUAAGCUUAGUUGCCAUCAUUAAGUUGGGCACUCUAAGUUGACUGCCGGUGGCAAACCGGAGGAAGGUGGGGAUGACGUCAAAUCAUCAUGCCCCUUAUGAUUUGGGCUACACACGUGCUACAAUGGACAAUACAAAGGGCAGCGAAACCGCGAGGUCAAGCAAAUCCCAUAAAGUUGUUCUCAGUUCGGAUUGUAGUCUGCAACUCGACUACAUGAAGCUGGAAUCGCUAGUAAUCGUAGAUCAGCAUGCUACGGUGAAUACGUUCCCGGGUCU
rnacentral:rRNA from 1 species